rnacentral:misc_RNA from 1 species
AACCUUAUGGACCUGCGGGCGUAUACCUGCGGAGGGAUCAUUAACCUUUCAAAUCAGGGUGCGGCGCGGCCCCCGAGGAGCGGAAACAAUCCUUGGGAGGUAUGCGGGGGCUUCGGGCCCCCCAUUUACGCACGCACGACUGCCAUCCUUACUUUACGAGCACCUUCUGUUCUCCCUCGGCGGGGCAACCUGCCGUUGGAACCGAAUAAACUCUUUUUGCAUCUAGCAUUACCUGUUCCG